AACGCACAUUGCGCCCCUUGGUAUUCCGGGGGGCAUGCCUGUUCGAGCGUCAUUACAACCCUCAAGCUAUGCUUGGUCUUGGGCCUUGCCGGCAACGGCUGGCCCUAAAAUCAGUGGCGGUGCCAUCGUGCUCUCAGCGUAGUAAUUCUUCUCGCUGUUGGGUCCCGGUGGACGCUUGCCAGCAACCCCCAAUUUUUUAUGGUUGACCUCGGAUCAGGUAGGGAUACCCGCUGAACUUAA
rnacentral:misc_RNA from 1 species